CUGGGACUGUGGCUGGAAUCCGGUCACUGUCUGUCCCCCGGCAGCGACCGCCUCCAGUUUCCCUGACGUGUUGGUCUCUUCAGGCAGCCCACUGCUCUAUGGCCGGCUUCACCACAGUGGAAACAGGUUGGUUUGAUUCAUCUGGCUUUUGUGUCUGCAGAGACUGUUUCAUAAGCUCAACCAUACAGGAUUGUCUCAUCACUUACUUGGCUGUCAACAAGCAAUGGUUUGAGCUCCCUGCGCACAUCGUCGUGUUUGUGCCCCAAGCCUUGAUAUACAGUGUGGAGGAAGACAUCCUGAACUGUGCUGGCACUGUACCUAAUGUCUGUAUCUCCAUGCUUUGAAGCCAGCAGGAUCUUUUGCUUAAGACCAAUAACCCUGUAUAGGAACUGUUGUGGCGUUUCAUUGUCCUUCUGUUUAGUGCACAUAAGCUCCUGAAACAGCUCUGUGUUACUUUGCUCGCCAAGAUGGGAAUGAAGGAAUCCUUUCAACUC